rnacentral:lncRNA from 1 species
GCUUGAAAGAAGCACAAAGACUCCGUGAUCACAAUAGUCAAAGACUGGCUUUGGAACACAGUACCAAGUAAUUCACAGAAAAAGACUCGCUCUGUUGCCCAGGCUGGAUCAUAGCUCACUGAAGCCUCAAGUGAUCCUCUUGUGUCAGCCUGCCAGGUAGCUAGAUCUGCAGGCGUGACCCACUCCACUAGGCCCUUUUUCUGGUUUCUUGAGUUAGGUGCUUAUUUGCAAUAUCUUCUGGCUGUUAAUAAAAAUAUGUAAGGCUAUAUAUUUUUCUUUAAAUAAAGCUUUGGCCAAAUCCCA